rnacentral:lncRNA from 1 species
UAGAACCCAAGAAAGAUAAAUGAUGUCCCUUGAACCCAAUCUAAACAAGCACCAAGAACAAUUGAAAUAGGAAAUCAAAAUUGAAAUACAAGUGAUAACAAUUGUAUUCCAAAUCAACACCUUAUGCAUAAAGUGAAAAGAAAGCCAAAACGCUCUUAACUCAAUUCUGAAAUAUUUGAUUACAACUCUUGAUGUCCACAAAGAAGAGUUCCUUUUGGUAUUUAUAACCAAAGAAAUCAAUGAUAAGUUAUAACACAAUAACUACAAUUGUAAUUGCCACAAUAACUAGGCUAAUUAUGUGAUAAUUACAAUUG